rnacentral:lncRNA from 1 species
GGAUAAUAUAAUAAAAUUUCAUCAAAUUCUAAGGAAUCACUAAUUUAUGUAAUAUUAAAAAAUAUAUGAGUAGUUUAAUCAAUUUUUUUUUAAAUACGAUAAGAUAUUUUGUGUUUUAUCGGAUCAAUGGUAUCAUAUUGAAGGUUAAUAGUGAGUUUUGGGUUUUUACCGGGUUGUUUUUAAUUAACGCAUUUUUCAUUAAAUCUGAACCGGAUUAUAUACAACGUAUCGGGUCUACAGAUUCAACCAUGAAUCUCGGUCGGAUAUGAAAACAAAUCUUAAAACUCAAACAUUAUUAUAGAACAAGUACCAUAUUUCGAACAAAUGCCAUAUUUUGAAAAGAAAAAAGUGAUAAAAACCUAAAUACUCAAUUGUUAUAGUUCGAAACAAAAUAAUGGUAGUUUGUAGAUCAGUUUUCGAUCAAUAAAUAAAAAAAUAAACACGCGCUUUCUAAGUACGGGUCAAAAUCUAGUUGAUUAUUAAGAUACAAGUCUAGCUUCUCGAUCCAUUAUUUCAAUAAAAGACUAUAUCUUUGGUCCUCA